rnacentral:rRNA from 1 species
AUGUCAUACUGAUGUCUCAAGACUAAGCCAUGCAUGUCUAAGUAUAAAUGCUAUACAAUGAAACUGCGAAUGGCUCAUUAAAACAGUUAUAGUUUAUUUGGUAGUUGAAUUUACAUGGAUAACCGUGGUAAUUCUAGAGCUAAUACAUGCGCAAAGCCCAACUUUUUGGACGGGCAGUAUUUAUUAGAUAUCAGCCAGCUCCCCUCGGGGAUUGUGGUGAAUCAUAGUAACUUAGCGGAUCGCACGGCGUUUGCCCGCGACAAACCAUUCAAGUUUCUGCCCCAUCAUGCUCUCGAUGGUAGUGUAUUGGACUACCAUGGCUUUUACGGGUGACGGAGGAUUAGGGUUCGAUUCCGGAGAGGGAGCCUGAGAAACGGCUACCACAUCCAAGGAAGGCAGCAGGCGCGUAAAUUACCCAAUCCUGACUCAGGGAGGUAGUGACAAGAAAUAGCGGGCCGGGCAUCUGCCCGGCACUGAAAUGAGGCGAAUUUACACACCUCGCCGAGGACCAAUUGGAGGGCAAGUCUGGUGCCAGCAGCCGCGGUAAUUCCAGCUCCAAUAGCGUAUAUUAAAGUUGUUGCAGUUAAAAAGCUCGUAGUUGGAUUUCUGGCCGGGGGCCAAAGGCGCGCUACUCGUGCGCCCGCGACGCCCGUCAUCCUUCUGUCAAGCCGGUAUGGCGCUCGCGCGCUGACCGGGGGCUCAGAUAUUUUACCUUGAGAAAAUUAGAGUGUUUCAGGCAGGCUUGUGCCGGGAUACAUUAGCAUGGAAUAAUGGAACAGGACUUUAGCCUCUUCUGUUGGUCUGAGGGGUUAGAGUAAUGAUUAAUAGGGAUAGUUGGGGGCAUUAGUACUUAACUGUCAGAGGUGAAAUUCUCAGAUUUGUUAAUGACUAACUUAUGCGAAAGCAUUUGCCAAAGAUGUUUUCAUUAAUCAAGAACGAAAGUUAGGGGAUCGAAGACGAUCAGAUACCGUCGUAGUCUUGACCAUAAACCAUGCCCGGCUAGAGAUCGGAGGUUGUUCGUUUUGUGACGCCUUCAGCAUCUUGAGAGAAAUCAAAGCCUUUGGGUUCCGGGGGGAGUAUGGUCGCAAGGCUGAAACUUAAAGACUGACGAGGCACACAGGAGUGGAGCUGCCGCUAUUUGACUCAACACGGGAAACCUUACAGUCAGACUGGGUAGGAUGUACAGAUUGAUAGCUCUUUACAGAUC